CUAACCUGCUAAAUAGUACAGUUGCAAGAUUAUAUAGACUUCAUGCUGAUGCUUCCGCGUUGGCAUGGAACUAUAUAAGCAGGUGAGACUUCUUAGAGGGACUGGCACACAAUAUAAAGUGCACGAGGAAGAGCAAUAACAGGUCUGUGAUGCCCUAAGAUGUCCGGGGCCGCACGCGUGCUACAAUGACGAUGCAAGUGAGCAUGAUUUACCUGGUUCGAAAGAAUCGGGAAACCUGUUCAAUCAUCGUCGUGACUGGGAUUGGGGUUUGUAAUUAUCCCCCAUGAACGAGGAAUUCCUAGUAAGCACAAGUCAUAAGCUUGUGCUGAUUACGUCCCUGCCCUUUGUACACACCGCCCGUCGCUACUACCGAUUGAAUGGUUUAGCAAGGUUAUUGGAUUGGCCUUUUGCGGUUCGCGCUGCAUUAAGCUGAGAAGAUGACCGAACUUGAUCAUUUAGAGGAAGUAAAAGUCGUAACAAGGUUUCCGUAGGUGAACCUGCGGAAGGAUCAUUA
rnacentral:rRNA from 1 species